rnacentral:rRNA from 1 species
GACGAACGCUGGCGGCGUGCUUAACACAUGCAAGUCGAACGGAAAGGCCAUGCGUUUGUGGGGUGCUCGAGUGGCGAACGGGGGAGUAACACGUGAGUAACCUGCCCUUGACUUUGGGAUAACUUCAGGAAACUGGGGCUAAUACCGGAGAGGAUCUCCUGCUGCAUGUGGGGGGUUGGAAAGUUUCGGCGGUUGGGGAUGGACUCGCGGCUUAUGAGCUUGUUGGUGGGGUAGUGACUUACCAAGGCUUUGACGGAUAGCCCGCCUGAGAGGGUGAACGGCCACAUUAGGACUGAGGUACGGAGCAGAAUGGUACGGGAGGCAGCAGUGGGGAGUAUUGCACAAUGGGCGGGAGUGUGAGGCGGCAGCGCUGCGAGCGGGAUGACGGCCUACGAGUGGUGAACCGAUUUCGAAUGUGACGAAGCGUGCGUGACGGUAAUGAGUCAAGAAGCACCGGCUAACUACGUG